rnacentral:lncRNA from 1 species
CGCACGCGCAAAUUUAAAAAGCGGACGCCACACGAGGAUCCUUCUCACACGGUUAACGAGAACAGCUGCCGACAUGGAUGCUUGGAGAAGUGCUGCCCUGUUCAUCUGGAACAAGAGCUCUCGGAUUUGUUGAAAAGGUUGACAAGAAAAACUACCUGCAUAGACAUCUGUAGAAGGAGUGCUCUGCCCAUACAACUGGAACGAGAAUUCCUGGACUUGUCCAGAAGGUUGAUGGAGACACCGCCUUCAUAGACGCCCUCUGAAGGGUUGGCCCUGUCCACGUUGAACAAGAGUUCUUGGGCUUUUCAAAAAAAACUCCAAGAGUGCCUAGCACAGCCACAGCAGUCUACCAUCAUUAUCAGUGGCCAUCAACGGAGGUCCAGGAACCAGAUGAGUCCGACUGCAGGUUCUGAAGGAUGAGGCAAGAUGGACCUUUGGGAAUGAGAGAGUGCUAACUGAUCGCCAGAAUGGAAGAUUUCCAAAAUGAAAGGAAUACAGUUAAAUGAAAUUGACUUACAAGUACAAGUAUUAGGGCUCUUCAAAAUCUUUUAAUUACAGUUUAUGACAACGUAUUGCAUGGAUCAGUUGUCUUACUCUUUGUCUUACUGGUAGUUAAAUUAAAAAGACGUAGUGAUACUCAAAGCAGGAUUCAAGGGCCAUGAGUUUAGAAAGGAAAAUGUGAAUGCAAUACUUUGGACUUCUUAAGUAGGACCUCAUCAAUAAAAAUCCAAUGGCCAGAGGAAAUUCAGUACGCUCUGAACUGUACAGCUAAGUGUAUUGUUCAACAUUGCCUGUUUACACACUUGAAGUAAAAACACACCAACAUAAAGCUUGACUCUUGACUUUGCUAUGAUGUGAAACUUGACUUUGAAUUGACCCAAACAACCUGAGAUUUGACAACCACAAAUCACACAUGUACAUGUUUGCAGCGCCGGUGAAUAAAAAGACCCAAAUUAAUUGACAAUUCAUAGAGCGCUUUGUGUUUUUCUACUGCCAAAUUUUGGUGGGUUAUGUUAAAAGCAGCCAAUAUCUGCAGCGCGAAGAUUUGAAAAUGGUAGAAACUGACAACAGAAACUGACAAAUUUUACGUCUUUUUGUUUUUGGAAUUGCUGCUGCGGCUUUUUUGGUGGUGCUUUUGAAAAUUAACCAACAUCCAAAUGGAUCCUUGCAUCUACAUGUACAUGUAUGAAGUGACAUGAAACAUUCUUGAAACGAAGAAAAUGACUUGAUAACAACUCACCCCUUUCUGACCUUCCUGAAUUCAUUGCUCCGCCGGUCACAAGUACAACCAAUGUAACAUUGAUGCAGCCCACAAACCUGCGCUGUGUUCCCUAAUGGCCACCAGCACGGGCAGCAAAGUGGAGCAGGUGCAUGCUAACCUCGUCUGAUUCCUGGACUUCUGAUGAGGGUAGACUGCUGUUAGGCACUCUUUGGGGAGUUCUGAAAAGCAACAAAAAAAUGAAGGGACUUUUAAUUAUGUUGUAUUUUGAGAACAAAGUGUGCACUCACAAUCAUAUGUAUAACUUGUGAACAGUUUGUUUACACUUUCAUUAGAGAGAUACUUAAAUUGUACAUGUAUAAAACUAUUAAAGAUUUAUAAAUGCAAAGCAUGUAAGUUGGCAGUUUCCAGAAUAAACUGAGAUGGUAAAUAUACAAACCAGGAA